rnacentral:tRNA from 9 species
GCGGGUAUGGUGGAAUUGGCAGACACGAUGGAUUUAGGUUCCAUUGGGCAACCGUGCAGGUUCAAGUCCUGUUACCCGCACCA